AGUCCCACCCCAUACUGCUGUCCCCAGCCGGAUUUGUGCCCUCUUCAGCUCGGUUUUGCUUUGCCGAGCCAUCCCUCCCUCUCGGUCCCUGGGCGGAGGGUUGAAUCUGGGCGUCGGCUUUCCGCGAUUGAUCCGGAGGGGAAAGACAGGGAGUGAUAGGCUUGAGAGGCGGAAGGAGACGGUUUCUGGUCGCAUUGCACCUUUUAAAGGUCCCCAUUUGUUUUGUUUUCGCUGUUUUGAAAAGUCCGCCCAAAGCAGCCAGCUCUCCGAUUGGAUACUGGUACAGAGAUCAGAAUGCUGAGCAUCUGAUGCACUCUAGAAUCCGGAUUGGCUAACUGAUUAGCCUUUGAGUCCUCUGAUUGGCUUUCGUCUUAUCCGGAGCCUCUAUCUUCCUUGGGGCCUUAGCAACUCUAGGGUCUGGAUUGCGCAUGCCUGAUGGCUCCGGAGGAAUUUAUAGACCUUACCCGGGGGUCUAGUCCCUCCCACCCCCACCUCCACUCGUCCUGGGGAUAUGCCACUCUACGCUCUUGCCUUAGAAGAGCCGUAACAGCUAGAAAACAUUUAUUUGUUCUGCGGGUCCACUUUACGAGAAAACCUGAAUGGGAGCCCAGCCUCAGAACACUGGAUGCUGUUAGCUUUUGCUGCCCUCCUGGAUCAACUUUAUGUUUUUGAGCUUCCUACAUGUUUGCCUACAGCCAUGGCAGUUUUAAUUGCUGGAUAAUGUUACAUUGUAUGAAAAUACCACAUUCUAUCCAUUUUACUGUGGAUGGAUUUUGGAUAUCUUUCCAGUUUAUCACGAUUAUAAAAACUGCUGCAAUUCAUGCCUCCCCCCCGCCCCACCACAUCUCUUUGUACAUACAUCCAAGAGUUUUUCUAUGUUAGAUACCUAUAAGUGGAAUGUUUAAGCCUCAGGGCAUGAGCAUUUUCAACUGGAUUGAGUAGCAUCAAUGGAUUUCCUGAGAAGUUGAACUAACUUCCACUCCCAUCAACUCUCUAUGAGAGUUCCUGUGGUGACACAUCCUCACCAACAGGUUACCUGUUUUUUGAUACGUAAAAAUAAAAUUCAGAAUGACUUACAA